CCUACGGGUGGCAGCAGUGAGGAAUAUUGGUCAAUGGACGAGAGUCUGAACCAGCCAAGUAGCGUGAAGGAUGACUGCCCUAUGGGUUGUAAACUUCUUUUAUAUGGGAAUAAAAUGUUCCACGUGUGGGAUUUUGUAUGUACCAUAUGAAUAAGGAUCGGCUAACUCCGUUCCAGCAGCCGCGGUAAUACGGAGGAUCCGAGCGUUAUCCGGAUUUAUUGGGUUUAAAGGGAGCGUAGGUGGAUUGUUAAGUCAGUUGUGAAAGUUUGCGGCUCAACCGUAAAAUUGCAGUUGAAACUGGCAGUCUUGAGUACAGUAGAGGUGGGCGGAAUUCGUGGUGUAGCGGUGAAAUGCUUAGAUAUCACGAAGAACUCCGAUUGCGAAGGCAGUUCACUGGACUGCAACUGACACUGAGGCUCGAAAGUGUGGGUAUCAAACAGGAUUAGAUACCCGUGUAGUC
rnacentral:rRNA from 1 species